rnacentral:lncRNA from 1 species
GGAGGCUGAGCCCAGAAAAGCGCCCAGCGCCCUUGCGGGCCCACUGGGCCCUGAGCUCGCCCUGUCGCCGGGUCAUUUUCACGACCCGUUACUUUGGGAGCGGAGCGGUGCUGCCCCCGUAGCUCCUGUCCACUGCGACCAAGGGUGCCGCUGGGACACAGCGUUUGGAGAAGGCCUUGUGGCCCGUGACUGAGGAUAGCAGGAGGUGGAGGCGUUUGUUGUAUGGCUUUAGUGCAGGGACAGGGACACUGUCGGGAAGCGGGGAUGCGUUUGGCCGAAUUGUGGGCAAGUUUCUUAAAUGGAAGCCAGAGGGCAAGAAGUCAGUCCCGAGUAUCCACGGAUCGCUCUCUUCCUCCUGGUAACUCACUAAUGGGACAAGUUUCUUGGCCAGUGAGGCUAGGAUCUUAAGUCUUGAGUCCCGAAUGGAAAGCGAACCACUUUUGUAUCCACAGCUUCCUACUCUCCUGUUCUUUUGUUUGCCCUGUUUGGGGCAGGUGGUACCUGUCAUUGUGUAGAUGCGAAAUAGAUGUUUGUGGAAUGAAUGACCGAGCAACUCCACCGCGAUGUGCAGACAUACACCAGGGUCCUCCUUUACUUUGUCUCUCCUCCGUGCUUGUCUUCAACUCCAGUACUUUUUGAUCUGAAGAUGGUUUCCUAGGGAUUCUUUCCCGGUCACAUGGUCUCCCCUACCCCAUCAGCAGCUUGUAGAUUUGGAACCUGUCCCUGAUGAUCCAUUUCCCACCUGAAGCCCCUCCUAGGUAGAAAAUUCCUAGGACUGGUCCUGGGUUGUCUUGAUCAGUGCUCUGGGUUCCAUUUCCCUCACUGAGCACCUGCUCAGGGACGGAGAAAGAACCAGGGGGCCCAGGAAGAAUAAAAGGUGAGUCUGGUUGGUACUACCCUUCUUCCAGAAGCUGGGGCCCUCAAGCUGCCUCUGGCCCCCAUUGCUGAAUCCACGGUGUAGGUAGCUGGUGUAGCUCAGUCUCUGUGGCCCAGCCCUCCCCUGUCCAGUUCUCUGCCUGGCCUGGCUUGCUGGAAGACUGUGGAAAUUGUCCUGCUGUCCAGUGACCCACGCCAUCCAGUCACUCUCUCUUUUAUAGAAAACUAUAAAAAGGCACAAAAGGCAGGAAAACAUCCAGUUCCCACGGUAAUGCUGCAAUUGGGCAUAUUCCCCAGUGGUGAAAUCCUGCAACACGUGUAACUAUGUUUCCUGCUCACUUUUUUCCUGAAUUGUCUUUGGAGGUUUCCCUAGUAUAAUGCGUCUGUACUACUCUCUUCCACUGCAGGGAUUGAAGCAUAAUUUGUUUGAUAAUUCCCCUGUCAUUGGGCACCAAGUUAUUUUCAAACAUUUACCCUUAGAAGUACAUAAUGCAUUAGUAAACGUUCUUCUAUACAUAAGGAUUUGUCCAUGACAUUCUGCGGAAAAUCCCCAGAGAUAGCCAACUUUGCUCUAAGUCAAGGUCUGUCUAAAAAAGUCCAAGGAAUACCUUGGUGGACAUCGCUGAGAUGGGCUUGCAGUGAAGGACCCCAUUCAUCCACCCCACAGUCCUGCGUGUUGGAGAGGGGGUGCAGGCCAAGGACAAAUGGUCACUGAGUGAAUCUAGGGUUUGGUUCUGUUUUCUUUCUCCAGCACUGAAGAGUUGAGUGACACUGUUAUAAUCACAGUCUGUCUUCAGAAUCAUGACAUUAAUUGAUUUAGUAAUAGCAUAGAUUGAGGUUUAUUAGGCAACUCAAUUAAAAAUGCUUCUUUUCUUAAAAAUUAACUUGAUUUUGGGCCGUGGAUUUAGCUCAGUGGUUCCGCUGCCUCGCAAGCACAAGGUCCCGAGUUCAAUCCCUGGUACCCCCCCCCCCCCAAAUUAAUUGAUUUUGAUAUAAAUCCAGAUUUACAGGGAAGUUGCAGAAACAGUACCUAGCAUCCCUCAGGGUCCUCAACCCAGCCUUCCCACCAUUACAUAGGAUACAUCCAUGGUGCAGCAGUAAGGCCCAGGAUUUGGACAUGGAUGCAGUACUUAUGACUCAUCCGUAGGCUGAUUCAGAGUCCUUCAGUGGUCCCACUAAUGUCCCUUCUGACCCACGAUCGAAACCUGGAUCCUACAAGGCCGUUUUGUAAAAUUGGGAGCCAAGAGAGGCCCAGCAAGUCGCCUGUAUUCUGAGGCUGACUCGGCCCCUCCUGAAUCGUAGCUGUGAAGGCUGCAGAGAGCCCUGGGGCCAGGAGUGGGGGGACCCUGACUGUUAAGUGGGAGGCCCAUCUCUGUGUGCCCCUUCCUUGGGCCCAGACCUCCACCAGGAAUGUAUGGUUGAGUAAAAAUUGGUUUAUUACUAAUCUGUCCCAACAUGUCUCUAGGGGGCCGGUAGAUGGAUGACAUCCGGUGUGCGUGAGAGCAGCCACUGAGCAACUGACUUCGUGGUUGACAAGUACAGGGUGCAGUGCCUGUGCGGGUGACUCACUCCCCAGGAGUGGCAGGCAUGUCAGGUGCUCAGUGUGCAAGCCCAGCCGAGGCCACAUUUCCUGGUCACCUGGGCAGGACUGAAGGACAAGGCUCCUGCUCUUGCCUCUACGUGGGUUAAGAGGAUCUAAGAGGAUCGUCAGGUCAUCUCGGAUGAGGAAGUGACUCCCCUCUUCUUUAAGGGAUUUGUUUCCUCUGAGGAGUGAGGGAAUUGGGGUGGGGACAGCCAGCCUAAAGAGAUUUGGGGAUGCACCCGGUGUGACAGAGGGUGGUGCCGGGAUUUUGCUUGAGAGAGUGCUUGUGAGCAGCUGCGGAAACCCAAGAAAGACUAAUUCUCAGACAGCUGAAGUCUAAAUUGAGCCCCUUUCCCAUGAAGCUUACUCAACCCCAGACCAUAUUUCUCCUCAGGAAGCCUUCCUGGCCUACUCACAGCUGCUGUACACAAAGAGACCACAGGAGUCUCCGACCUUCGGCUCACGAACAGAUUCAGGCUGUCUGGGGCAUUCCCGUGCUUUCCCGUGUAGAAGAGUGGCCCGCAUAGGCUGUAGGCGACAUCUGUUUCCAGUGAAGAAGUUUUGAUCUUGCUUAAAUCUCCACAGCACAUGCUUCUGUUGUCCAGGUGGUGUCUGUGACUUUCAGGCCCUGGUUACUCAAGACUUGGAUUUGUCUUUCCCCAUCUGAGCACUUCCAACUUGCCCACUGCAGCUUUAUAACUUUGAAGUGGAAAAACACGCAUUUCUCUCGCUCUCUCCUCUUACCGCACAGGCAUUUUCUGUAGCCAGCAGGCUUCGUGAGGAUCAUAACAGGAAGCAGGAGCAGAGCUGGAGAUGUUGUGACUAAACACUUCUGGUCUGGGCUGCAGUCUACACCUGCCCUCUCCCUCUCUCAGGGACUCCUUUGGUCCGUCCCCUCCCGGAUGCCAGAGUGCUUCCCGCGUGGAUGGACCUGUUACUCUGAAACUGCUCCCCUGUCCCACAGUGUGCCUUCAGAUUGUAACUUGGAAGCCUUCCUAACUCACCCGUGCCUGGUCUGUCCUUCCACUUUGCAUUUCUGUGGUUUGUUGGUACUGGUAUUUACACGGACAUCUUGAAAUCAGGUAUCAUUUAUCUUUGGUUAAGGUGGAAGUAGCUUCAUUUGGGUGAAUAAUAAAGGAACUGCAUUUCUAGUCCAUCAUAAUCAGUCAGAUCUGCUGUCUUUCCCCUUGAGAUUUUGAGGUCCCUGGGUGCUUGGAAGACACCCCUGAGUGGUGCCUUGGCUGGUGUGCCCAGCAGACCACUACUGCUUCUGUUUCUAGCCACCAUCUUUCUAGAUGAUGUCACUGUCAUCGUGGAACAGGUGGGGUCCUCCAUUCAAAUUGAGCACCACCUCAGCCAAUAGACACAGGCAGCUCGCUGCAUAGAAGGACAGGAAUGAUCUUGCACGCGUUUCUUCCUUUCAACUGUGCCGUUGGCUAAGGAUGCCCCAUCAGAAAUCACUUGGGCUCCCUUGCUUUACAGACUAAUUUUGCACCUGAAAAAAAAAGUCUAUACAAAACCAAUCUUGGUCGAUUACGUGAUCUCCAGAAGGCCUGGAAGAAUCGUGCAACCUGGCAGAAUGCUGAAGUAGCAGGUUUCUGUCCAAGAAUGCUUUCUGUAGCAUGAAUCAUCACCUCCUCCCAUAUUUGGUUUGUUGGUACAGGUUUUUGCACAGGAGUCUUGAAACCAGGUGCGCUUUUGUGUGUGCCUGUGUGUGGUUCAACAGAAGUGGCAGUGUUUGAGCUGGCGUUUGAAAGGUGUUCACUAGGGUCUCAUUUGAAUAGCUCCCAGAUCUAUUUCUUUUGCCUAAAAAGCACACCCUUGACUCAAUUCAUUUUAGUAACUUCCUUUGCUUUCACCAGACUGACAAACCCACCUAGGACAGGCCUGUAGGGACCACCCCUGUCUGCCCAUCAAUUUUGUGCAGUGAUUGAUUAGCGAUUUCAGGGCACGCUUUUUGAGCAAGCCCAUGGAGUAUUUUCUCUCUCUAAUUAUAGAUGAAUUUCCAAUCCCUUGCCUGUCUUAGUUUCACAAAUUUUGACGCUUGCUUCUGUUGGUGUCAGUGAACCCCCUUUGAUUCACGUGCGUGUGGUCCCUGGUGGUCUUUGGGGCCGGGCGGAAGCCAACUUGAAGAUGUGGCAGCCUCUUUGGGUGGAGAGAUCUGCUGUGCUUUGUGCCUAGAAAUUGAGGUGUCUGAGAUGCUGGCCUUUGGGGACAACUUCUUCACAGUGUGAGUGAAACCCUCAGGAGCUUUAAGCGACAACGAUCGUUUCUGCAAUUGUGUCUUCAUCACUUAACCUGAUUAAAAAAUGUAAACCUCUCUUGUUGUGAUAAAAUAUACACCUCAACUUUGCCAUGUUAAUCAUUUUUAAGCAUCCGGUUCUGGCAGCAUUAAGUACACUCACAUUGUUGUGUAACCAUCCUCCUCGUCCGUCUCCAGAACCCUUUCAUCUUCCAAAUUGAAACUGCCUUCAUAAAACACUAACUCCCAACCUCGCCUCCCCCAGCCCCAGCACCUGCACUUCUACUUUCUGUCUCUGUGAAUCCGACUGUUCUAGGGAACUCAUGCAAGUGGAAUCACGCAGGAGUUGUCUUUCUGUGUCUUAUUUUACUUAGCGGAACGUACUCGACGUUCAUCCAUAGUGCAGCAUGUCAGAAUUUCUUUCCUUUGUAAGCUGAAUAUUAUCCCAUCAUGUGUAUAUAUUACAUUUUGUUUAUCCGUUCAUCCGUUGGGCAUUUGGAUGGCUUCCACCUUUUGCCCAUUGUGAAUAAUGUUAUGAAUGUAGGUGUGUAAAUAUCUGUUCAAAUCCCUGCUUUCAGUGCCGUUGGGUAUAACAUCAGAGGUGGAAUUGCUGGAUCAUAUGGUAAUUCUGUGUUUGAUGUUUUUGAAGGACCACCAAACUGUCCUUUCCAGCAGCUAUACCACGUUAUAUUCCUGCCAGUAGUGCACAAAACUUCCAAUUUCUUGCCAAUAUUUACCCCCCACCUCCACCCCACUGCUUCCCUCCUUUCCUUCCUUCUGCCCUGAUGGGGGUGAGGUGCUUUUAGCUUUGAGGAGGCAGUCUCCACUGAGAAUUCAGUGCCCAGGGAACCAAGGAGUAUCGGAGUUUAUGUGGGCACGGUUACUCUUUUAAAAUUAAGAAAUCAGGUGACCUAACAUGUCCCUGAGGUCUUGAUUACAUAAACUGGAGUUUAUCCAGUGCUUUUGUGCCCAUAUGCUAUCUGAUGUCACUCUCAACCAGGUGAAGUAGUCAGGGGUCUUCCCCGCUUUACAGAGGAAGACAUCGAGGUGCAGGUGAGUGAAGCCAGGUGUACAGACAGCAGCCGUGGGGAGCUUCCCUGAGGACCCUAACUCCUAGCCUGGGAAACACUGUGAAAAGUAGUAUUUCUGUAAGCAUUGCCGUGGGAAAAUGAAGCAGGGAGGAUGGAGACUGUCUUCCUCAUUUGAAAGAACUCUAGGGUGAGGGCCGGGGAUUUAGCUCUGUGGUUCUGACACCUGCCUCGAAAGCACAAGGUCCUGAGUUCAAUCCCAGGUACCAAAAGAAGAAGAAGAAGAAGAAAAAAAAAGAACUCUAGGGUGAAUCCUUUCUGUCCACUCGUCCUGCAGGGACAAAUUUCCGUGUGUGAACUUUGCUGAGAGUCAGUAACUUGUUUUUGUUUUUUUGUUAGAGAACCCUUUUCUGCUCAGUCAAAUGGCUUAAGGAAUGCCCCUUUGAGCCCAGAGGUGGAUGUCAGAUUUCUUUGGUCCUGGCUGGGGUAAGGUGACUGCCUCCUUUCUCGAGGUUUCUGGCUGAGGCUCAGUCGGUUCUGGGGUGCACCUGGCUGUCCCGUGUCCAUUCUCGGGGUGGACUGGACCUUCCGUAGGUUUUCUUGUCCCGGGCGCAGAUUGUGUUUGGGUUUGCGUGGUUCUUAUGCCUCUUUACACUUCCCCACUUGUGGUGAGAGGAAAGUGGACUCGAGCCCUGGGAACCCCAUAAAUCUGGCUCCUUUCCAUCUUUAUUUGUUCAUCAUAUUUCUUUGUAUCUUAAAAAUGAAGCAGGAAAAAGCAAAGCCAUUGCUCCAGCGCUUGGGGUUAUAGAAUGGGUUCACUCAGUGAGUUUUUCUUGUCUCUGGAGGAAAGGGAUGCCUCCCGGGACCCCAUCCCGUGGUGACCUCUGUCUGUGACCCCUCCUCCUUUGGCUUCAGACUUGUUUAGGGGUCCCUGAGUUCUGUCAAGGGAGAUUUUUCAGAAUCUCAGGGAAUUUGUGGUCACUGGUAAGCCAGCUGGGCAAUUCAGGUGUUUGGGUUUUAAUUAAAUUUCUAAGUGGAAACCAGGAAUGUGGUUAACCAGAGCUGAGACAGUCCUGCCUCCUCAUUCCACACUGACCACUGGGUUGUUCAGCCUUUCUGGGGAUGGCUUUCCUGGCCAUUUUCAGUGUCCUCUCUUAUCCUGCUGCUCCCCGGCCCCCACUGUUUUGAUAGGACCAGCUCGUUUUCCCUUUGACAAGCUCUUUCUCUAAGCUUUUCUCAUCUACAGGCAUCUGUGUGGCUGCCUUCCCAGUGCACCAGUCAGAGUGGCCACUGGUGGCCUCCCUCAUCCCUGAAGUCAUGACCCAGUCCAAGUCCUUCUCCCUAUCCCUUUAGGAAGGGCCAGUGACCAGCCUCUCCAUGCAGUGGAGUUCUACAGGGAAGGAGAGAGAGCUAACUUUUGGUGCUUCCAGAAUUUUCAUUCCCCUCAAUUUUCACCACCUGGAAUGUUAUCAUUGUCAUCUCCUGCAUGGAAGGCUUGGAGGCCUCAGGAAAAUCCUGAAUGUCUCACAGCAUUGCAGAUGGUUUAAGAUGGCAGCCUGUCCCACACUGGUCACCUCAUUUUGUAUGACUGGACAUGUCACUGGCCUCUCUGGGCUCAGAUCCCCAUCUGUGAAAGGAAGUGCAUCUAGGCUGGUGGUUUUUAGUGGCAAGUUGCAGAGACACCAGCUGGUACCAUUUUAAACAAGUGAGUGUUUUGGUUGUUCAUCUGAGUGAGAAGUCUAGGGGUUGUGCUACUGGUAGGAAGUUGUGUUUUCUUUCCAGUUAUUUUCAUCCUCUCCUCUUCUGUACACAGCCUCAUCUUAAGUUUGCAGACAGAGCAGCAGUGUUUGUGUGCAGGCCUCCUGCCUCUACAGAACUUUGGUGCUAGCAUUCCUGCCAGCUGGCCUCAGGGCCACACCCAGUCCAAGAGAUGGGGUGCUUUCAUUGGCUCCUCUGUGGUCACAUGCUUCAUACCUGGGAUUGUGGGUGGAGAUGGUUUCCCUCCCCAGAGCCACUAGGAUUCUGAAAAUGGAAACUAGGGCCGGAGGAAGCAGAGAUAGAUGGAGGAAGGUGCUACCACCACGACCACGUACCAUGUGUCAAGAUGCCAUGUUUUCUAUGAAUUAAUUGGACUACAAGACGAUCCACCAGAAUGUUUGCUUUGGGGACAGGGACCUAGUUGUGUUCAUUUUUGUGUACUUGGUAUUUGGGAUUGUGCCAGGGCAUGCCAAUUCUCAAUAAAAGCUCAUGCAUGAAUGAACCUUGACAGUACCUUCCCCUUCUAACUGUCUGAACCUGAGAGUAUGUUUUUGCAUGGAAACCUCAGCUUGCCUCAUCAGGGAGCUGGCAUUUUGGCUCUUAAGCUACAAAAUCCAGCUUUGCAGUUGAUUGGCCGUGACUGGAUUCUUGUUCAUUUGCACAAAAGAUUUGUCACUGGAAUAGCAACUUGAUGCUUGGAGCAGCAUCUUACCUGGGAUUUCUUCAAAGAAAGGCAAAUGCAUUCUCUUAAUUUUGUUGUUCAACUGGUAUGAAAAGCCCAGUGACAGGAACUGGGGGUAACAGGCUUGUACAGACUUCUUGCUGGGCUCCUGUAUUUGACAGUCCAGUGGAAUGCUGAGAACCCAGGGAGGCCAAACCCGGACUUCUCCAAGCCCAACCACACAAGUGGACUUAUUUAGGCAGCUCUUCUGUGUUCACACAUCCAUGUGCCAACUGGGAAGGAAAUCUUCUGGGUGCUCCAUGUGAGAGAGACGGCUUUGAUCUUCAGACUGCUGAGCUGAAGGUGGGGGACCCAAUAUUACUUGCUUUGUCCAUGGACUACACAGGUAGGCUUUGUUUGAGCAGCAGUGACUCAGGCUCAUGGGCUGUGUGAAGCCACGUUGCUCUGGCAGGUGCUACCAGCUGUCAUCUUUUGCCAUCGUUGGGAAAAAAAGUGUCAAUGUCGUAGUGUUGGGUGGUUUCUCCCAAACUUGAGUAGGAAUAGCCUUUUUAGUGAGUGAAAGGAAAGGAGAGGGGUGAUCUUCAUGCAUUAAAGGGGGCAGAUGCCUCAGGAAGAGUGCUGGCCCCUACCCUUGGUAUUGCCCCAAUUUCCAGAUGAGAAAGCUGAGGUUCUCAGAGGUUUUUGUCACUUGUCCAAAGUCACCCUUCUGGUCAGUGGCAAGGCCAGAACUUGAUGUGCUCACAAGUUGGCCCAUGACUGCAUCCAUCUAACUACUAUCUGCAAGCUGGGGUCCUGUCUCCUUGGGAAAGUGCUAGAAGCCACCAGUCAAAUGAAUUUCAUCUUGUUUCUGUCCUUUGCCUCCUUCUCCCAAUAAACCACCGACAGCUUUAAAAUAGCAUCUGCCCUCUCCAGGUAGAGGUGAAACGCACACCCCCGUAGAGCUAGAAACUGACUUCUUUCCGCCCUGCGGACCAGACGAUGUAGUCAGUGUUACUUAGUACCAAAACUAAUUAAAAUGCUCAUUUAUGGCAGUCUCACCCAUGAGAAACCCUCAUUCACAGCGUCUUAGGUUCUGGGCUUUCCCCCUAGCUCUACUUCUGUUUGCUACCUUUUGCUCACUAAGGUUUGAAGUCUGGUUUGGAGAGCUAUCCAUAAUUGCAUAUCAUUGCAUCUGAAUCCAGGUGUAGAUGCAGGGCUGUUUGUCUUCAAAAGCACCACAGCACUGUCCUGACCGUUCUCUUGGAGAGGCACAGUCCCACAACCUACAUCAGCAUCACAGUAUCCCUUCCUGGAAUACCAUGAAGGUUGCUGAAGCCAGAGCUCACUUAGUUGAAUUCCUGUCACAUUUUACAUCUCCUGUGAUUCCUGGCAUUUAGAAUGACAAUUCUAGGGGUGAGAGGGAUGUCCCGGCAUCCUCCACAAAGGAGGCUUGUGAGGUUUGGGGCGCACACAUCAGUGGGACUGCAGAGCAGACUGGACCUGUCAUCAAGGUGUUCAGUGGAAGUGUUGGGUUAGGGAUUCUAAUUCUCAGUCGACUGGGACGCUACUUUUUACUCCUCGCCUUCAAGUUGAGCUUUCAGAGCGACUCCACUGCUAGGCUCGCUCUUCGGAUGGUAUGUCUGGAUUUGGGGGGAGCUGCCCCAUGCUGGCCCAACAUCACCUUUGGAUAGGACAGGGCCCUGUGAGAAAUUUCGCCCCAGUGAGCUGUGCUUCUACAGAUGCCACAGGCUGUGUCUUCUGCACAAAGAACCUUUUAGCUGACAGAACUAGAAGGGCAGCGAAUGGAGCUCCUGCAUGGCCUUGUGAUGGGGUGGGAGGGAAGGCCUCAUGCACUGAACUGGGUAGACUGAGUCUUACAUUCUCCUUUCACCUACUUUUUCUUUCCCCUUUAGACCCUAUGCAGUGCUAAAAGCAUGGCUCCGGGGCUGUAUCUGCUUGGCCUUGAGUUGCGUCUGUGCUCUGGUGAUGCCGGAUUGAAUCAGGAAGAAGUUUCCUUUUUCUAGCCAGGAGGUGCAAUUCCCUUUUGGCUUUUUUCUUGGAACUAUAGACUUUGGGCCACCGCAGUUUCCUAUGGGCUUAAGUGAGAUGACUUAGGAGCAGACGGUGUGCACACUUUGAUGUGGAAGGCAAAUUUGAUGAAUUGCCAGCCCAGGACUCUGUUGGCUCCAUGGGCAGGCAGGAAAGAGGUGUGGGAGCGGAGGCCUGGCGAGCCUUCUAGCUCUCCCAUCCUCGGAUCUGGAAUGAGCUUGUCUCAGCCUGUUUUACCCGGUGUCUUGAUAGCUUUUCUUUCCCUCCUGGGUUGCAUCCUCCUCUCUCCUUUCCUUCCUCUCCCAGUCCACAGUCAAUGCACUAACAUUGGAGGUGACACUGAAUCCAGUAUUCUUGCCCAGGUUGUAUUUCAGUAAACUUGCCAAUGGGUUGCCUGGGGGCUAACUCUAGUUUUGCAAAGUUUUCUUCUUUACCUAGUAUUUCUCUUCCUUGAACUUGUGUAGUAUAUGCUGCCAUAGUUGUAUCCCAUGCCUGGGUCUUUUUUUCCUUCACAGUAAUCAUAAGUGUGCAUUGUCUGGUUUCAUAGCAGCCGGCCUGCUCCCCAGUAAAGCCUUAAUAUAAACAGGGAGACUUGGCAGGUGGAUGGCCCACACUGCUCUGCCCUUUGGCGGGUGUGUGCCUGCGGUUACACAGGGAGCCGAGUCACCGGGCUCCAACUCUGAAAGCCAAACAAGCUCCACGCUAACAGCAGUUAUGCGUCUUGCUUUCUGAGGGUCUUAUUGGUUUUUGCUUCGGGUGGUCUUGAGAAUCACACUGCUCUAUCCCCUGUGCCUGUUUUUGUCUUUUUUUUUUUUUUUUUUUAUCCACAGAGCCUUUUUAUUUUCCCCCACAUCAUACCCUUGUAAUUUGCCCUGUGGCUUUGGACACACCACACUGUCCCUUGGAGCCUCAGUUUCCCUUUCAGAUACCUUGGGAUGAGUUGAGCCCUCGGUUAGUUUUAGCAUGGAGGGGUCCCCUUGUUUCCCUCGCUGUUCCCUGCAGAUGGUCAGGAGGAAAAGGCAGUGAAGGAGAAACACUGGGUUGUCCUCGCUGGACAAACUGCUUUUGGCUGUUCUGUAGCACCCUGGGCUUCUCGGAGAAGUACUUUACUCGGUCAAACAUAAGAAAGUAAAAAUAGAAAGCAGUCUUGCUGGGCGAUCUUUAUAAAACAUCAGCUGUGGCAGUUUGGGAUGUCUUUUGUUAUGGUGACCUUGUACCAAAAUAAGCAAAUCAGAAGCAUAAGUGACUCUUCCCCUGAGGUUUGGGAGAGGGUCAAAGCUUAUUUCAGGCUUCCCUGAGGGGAGCAUCCUGUUUACCCCUUCCCAGGGUGAGUGUGGACUCAAACUGCCUCAGAGCUCUGGUCAAAGGCCCCCUCUUUCGGGAAGAAUGAGGUUCUUUUUAGCGUGUGGGUCCUGCUAGGUUCCCAUCCUGGAUUGGGAAGCAGACAGACACUGUGGGGCACACACUGGUGGUGAGCGGGAUGGAGGAGAAUUCCGCUCAGUGGCUGCCUGUGGGCCGCCCCUCACUUGCUCCUGAGGCACAGUGACGCCUUGUUACAGCCCAGAUUGUCCUGGGAAUGAGAAGUCCUGUGCUCCCCCUCCUCCUUCCAGCCCAACCUCCCUCCCCUCCCCUUACAGAAAAAAAAAUUCCUUCCCCCUUUCAGCAUCCGUGUCUUUAAGAAUUCCCUCCAUUGUAGCCCUGGACAGAGACCCUUCUGUAAGUGCGCUGGAGGCCUGUCCUGGGGACACCCCGCCCCCCCUAUUAAAAGACCAUCGGAACAAGCUCACCAUUCUCCUCUGGAGAGGGUCCCUCUGUCCCAGGCCAAGGGACUCUUAAGGGAACGUUUAUCCUGGGACACUCAGUUUACAAAGACUGCUGCAGUGUCAGAUAAACUCACUCAGCCCUGUGGGGAGGGGUGGGUUGGGAGGAGGACAAAACCCCCUUUAUUCCCACCCCUGCGGGGAGACCAAUAAAGACUUUGUGCUGGAGAGCAGGGGUCUGAGCAAACAGAUGAAGGGGUCUGUGUUGGCAUUGAUGUGUGAGAGCAUUAUGGGCUAUUAUCUUAUCGUUUGAGUUUUGGGGGGAAGUCUUGGCCUGGGUGGCUGAUGGCGAGGUCCAGUCAGGUAAAGUGAUCCUAGAUUCCCUGCUCCUGCCUCUUGGGCAAGUCGGUUGCGGUUUGCAAUCCCUAGGUGGUUUUUUCUACUAUUUGGAUAGGGCAAAUACCAAUUCAGUGGACCAGGCUCCAGCCGUGUGUGUUGUAGAAGAUUCGUGGUCUCAGCAUCAUGGGAUAAAUUUGGCCGUGUGUGUGUGUGUGUGUGUGUGUGUGCACGCGCAUGUGUCCAUCCCACCUGCGAUGUAUGUGCCUGUUUCGUGUGUGACACCAUCUAGUGUGGUUUUGACCACACAUAGCAUAGAGGUUUCACUCAGUUGUGUAAAACCGGUCAUUUGUGAGAGAAGAGCAUGACGGAUAUUUGUAGAACACUUACUAAGCACUGUGAGUUGUAUCAGCAUCUCAUUUAAUCUCAGGGUUUUGUUGAGGAGAUAGAUCUUUUCUUGAGGAGAUUGAUCUUCCAGACCAGCAGUGCAAAGCUCAGAGAGGGAAAGUGACUUGCCUAAUGUGACCCAGCAAUCCUUGAGGAUCCAGCUCUGCUGCAUCGAUCUCUGUCUGCUGCAGACUGGAGGCUGGGCUUAGCCAGGGCCCAGGGCAGCUGUAAGG